UACGUAGGGGGCAAGCGUUGUCCGGAAUCAUUGGGCGUAAAGGGCGCGUAGGCGGCUAGAUGUGUCAAAGGUGAAAUCCCUCGGCUCAACUGAGGAACUGCCUUUGAAACUGUCUGGCUUGAGGCCGGGAGAGGGUAGCGGAAUUCCCAGUGUAGCGGUGAAAUGCGUAGAUAUUGGGAGGAACACCAGUGGCGAAGGCGGCUACCUGGACCGGUUCUGACGCUGAGGCGCGAAAGCGUGGGUAGCAAACAGG
rnacentral:rRNA from 1 species